GGAUUAGGCAUGCAAGUCGAACGGGAUCCUGUUUUUUCAAUUCUUCGGAAGAGAAGGUUCAGGUGAGAGUGGCGAAAGGGUGAGUAACGCGUGGGCAAUCUGCCCUCUUGUCCGGGACAACCCGCCGAAAGGCAGGCUAAUACCGGAUACGGUCGCGAGUCGCAUGGCUCGCGUACUAAAGGUGGGGAUCAUCGGACCUGCCGCAGGAGGAGGAGCCCGCGUCCUAUCAGCUAGUUGGUGUGGUAAUGGCCCACCAAGGCUUACGGGUAGCUGGUCUGAGAGGAUGAUCAGCCACACUGGGACUGAGACACUGCCCAGACUCCUACGGGAGGCUGCAGUCGAGAAUCAUUCGCAAUGCCCGAAAGG
rnacentral:rRNA from 1 species